CCCUGAAAGGUCAGAAGGCCGUCUUAUUCUCAAUAUGCAUUUUAUUUUAUUACCCAAUCUGCUCCUGACAUAAAAUAAAUCUCCAAAAAUUAAAUUCUGGCCCUCAAACCCCACAGCAGGACUUAAUUAACCUCACCUUCAAGGUGUACAAUAAUAGAGUAGAGGCAGCCAAGUAGCAACAUAUUUCUGAGUUGCAAUUCCUUGCCUCCACUAUGAGACAAACCUCAGCCAAUCUCCUGCACACAAGAACUCCAAACACCUGAACCGCAGCUGCCAGGGGUUCCGCCAGAACCUCCUCCCCCAGGAGCUUGUUACAAGUGCCAGAAAUCUGGCCACUGGGCCAAGGAAUGCCCACAGCCCGGGAUUCCUCCUAAGUCAUAUCCCAUCUGUGUGGGACCCCACUGAAAAUUGGACUGUUCAACUCACCUGGCAGCCACUCCCAGAACCCCUGGAACUCUGGCCCAAGGCUCUCUGACUGACUCCUUCCCAGAUCUUCUCGGCUUAGCAGCUGAAGACUGACGCUGCCCAAUCGCCUCGGAAGCCUACAGGAUCAUCACAGACGCUCUGGGUAACUCUCACAGUGGAGGAGCCCUGCAAGAAUCCAAGUAAAUAAAGCUAAACCUUCACUACUGAAAACCAGCUUCUAGGUAACUCAUGUAUCAUACACCUUAUAUCCUUGCAUGGAUUCCCCAAAUCUAGUCUCUGAGGGCUUGGAUCUUCCUCUGAUAGUUCUACUUCAUUCUGUCAAAGAUCCAAUUCCCGAAAGAGUUUUUUUCAUCAUCUUCAAACAUCCAGCCCUCAGUGUAUUGGAUGAUACCUGCCAAUACUGGGCUGCUGUAGUAUCCUAGGGGUCUACUCCAGUCCCUGGUUACCUCGAAUUUUCCAGUCCCUGGAUGUCUCACCAGUGAAGGUUGUGAAACAGCAAAAAUGGCAGCCUGCACCCUCCUCUGGGAGCUCCAUCCCAAGAAGAUGUUGGCACUUCUUAGGAAGGAGCCAUCCAUGUCUGAAGAGAAGAAAUGAUAAUUAACUUCAUCAUGUGGAAAGCUUUAGAAGGAAGUAUCUUGUCCUUCUGUCCAAACCCGCCUCCUCCUUACCACCCCCAAUAAAAAUAAAAGCCAAACAAAUAAAACAUUAGCAGUAGCUCUGAGUUUCUUCCUUUCACUUUUUCUCUCUCUUCAUGCCUUUUCUCCUCCAUUCCUUCCUUCUUUCAAAUCAUUUUUACUAGUUUAAGAGAAUAAUUCAAUCUAUAUUUAGAAAUCAGACUUAAAACUUCAAAAAUUAUACUGAAAUAGCUUCCCCUUAAAGGGUGAAACAGUCAUGAUAAAAAUAACAACCGAUAGAAUAAAAUAAUAUAAAAUUAGCUGAGUUUAUAGUUUCUUUUACACCUCCAUAAUUUAUGUGGAUUUGGAAAUACAGACAGUAUACUGAAAACUAAGAAGUUUUCUAUGAAUUAUGAGAAUUUGCAAUCCACAUAGGCUUAAGUCUAAUGUUAGAAGAUAAAACAAAUUGACCUUAAAUAACUUUCUGACAUAACCUCCCCAUUUCAUGGAUGAAAAACCCUAAAGCUCUCAUAAGUAAAGUGAUUUACUUCAGGACACAAACUAGUUGAUUUAGUUUGGAUGUUUGUCCCCUCCAAAUCUCAUGUUGAAAUGGAAUCCCCAGUGUUGGAGGUGGGGCCUGGUGGGAGGUGUUUGUGUCAUGGGGCAGAUCCAUUAUCCUUAUGAGCUGCUUGGUGCUAUCCUUGUGAUAGUGAGUGAGUUCUCAUGAAAUCUGGUUGUUUAAAAAUUUGUGGCACCUCCCCACCAGCCUUGCUCCUGCUCUUGCGGUGUGAUAUGCCUGCUGCCUCUUCACCUUACACCGUGAUUAUAAGCUUCCUGAGGCCUCACCAGAAGCAGUU
rnacentral:lncRNA from 10 species